CUGGGUCACCUCCCACCCGUGUUUAUUGUACCUUGUUGCUUCGGUGCGCCCGCCUCACGGCCGCCGGGGGGCUUCUGCCCCCGGGUCCGCGCGCACCGGAGACACCAUUGAACUCUGUCUGAAGAUUGCAGUCUGAGCAUAAACUAAAUAAGUUAAAACUUUCAACAACGGAUCUCUUGGUUCCGGCAUCGAUGAAGAACGCAGCGAAAUGCGAUAACUAAUGUGAAUUGCAGAAUUCAGUGAAUCAUCGAGUCUUUGAACGCACAUUGCGCCCCCUGGUAUUCCGGGGGGCAUGCCUGUCCGAGCGUCAUUGCUGCCCUCAAGCACGGCUUGUGUGUUGGGCUCCGUCCCCCCGGGGACGGGCCCGAAAGGCAGCGGCGGCACCGAGUCCGGUCCUCGAGCGUAUGGGGCUUUGUCACCCGCUCUGUAGGCCCGGCCGGCGCCAGCCGACAACCCAUCAUCCUUUUCAGGUUGACCUCGGAUCAGGUAGGGAUACCCGCUGAACUUAAGCAUAUCAAUAAGCGGAGGA
rnacentral:rRNA from 1 species